rnacentral:tRNA from 1 species
UCCUCGGUAGCUCAGUUGGUAGAGCGGGUGGCUGUUAACCACUAGGUCGCAGGUUCGAGUCCUGCCCGGGGAGCCA